GACGAACGCUGGCGGCGUGCUUAACACAUGCAAGUCGAACGGAAAGGCCCUGCUUUUGUGGGGUGCUCGAGUGGCGAACGGGUGAGUAACACGUGAGUAACCUGCCCUUGACUUUGGGAUAACUUCAGGAAACUGGGGCUAAUACCGGAUAGGAGCUCCUGCUGCAUGGUGGGGGUUGGAAAGUUUCGGCGGUUGGGGAUGGACUCGCGGCUUAUCAGCUUGUUGGUGGGGUAGUGGCUUACCAAGGCUUGGACGGGUAGCCGGCCUGAGAGGGUGACCGGCAAAUGGGGGGGGAGGUAGAGGCCGAGAACACGAGGGGGAGCAGGAGGGGGGAGGAUUGCAAAAGGGGGGGAGACAGGAGGAGACAGCCCCGGGGGGGGGGUGACGGCGUUGGGGUGGGAAACAGAUUUCGCUUGUGACGGAGGGUGAGGAACGGAAAUGGGAAAAGAGGCCCGGCUAAAUUCGGG
rnacentral:rRNA from 1 species